rnacentral:rRNA from 1 species
AUUGAACGCUGGCGGAAUGCUUUACACAUGCAAGUCGAGCGGCAGCGCGGGGCAACCUGGCGGCGAGCGGCGAACGGGUGAGUAAUACAUCGGAACAUGUCCAUUUGUGGGGGAUAGCCC